rnacentral:sRNA from 2 species
ACAAUAGUCAAAGGGGAGUAGCGCUGGUUUUCGGACCAGGAUAAAAUCGUCAUUACAUGAAUGAAUCAUUCAUCGGUUUUAUUAACAUGUAACAUGUCAGCGAGACCUUUGCCCGUAGUGGGCGAGGUCUCGUUUUUUAUUUACUCGGCUUUGUCA